GGGUUGUGAGGUUAAGCGACUAAGCGUACACGGUGGAUGCCCUGGCAGUCAGAGGCGAUGAAGGGCGUGCUAAUCUGCGAUAAGCGCCGGUAAGGUGAUAUGAACCGUUAUAACCGGCGAUACCCGAAUGGGGAAACCCAGUGUGACUCGUCACACUAUCAUUAACUGAAUCCAUAGGUUAAUGAGGCGAACCGGGGGAACUGAAACAUCUAAGUACCCCGAGGAAAAGAAAUCAACCGAGAUUCCCCCAGUAGCGGCGAGCGAACGGGGAGGAGCCCAGAGCCUGAAUCAGCAUGUGUGUUAGUGGAAGCGUCUGGAAAGGCGCGCGAUACAGGGUGACA
rnacentral:rRNA from 7 species